UGGGGAAUUUUGGACAAUGGGCGAAAGCCUGAUCCAGCAAUGCCGCGUGUGUGAAGAAGGCCUUCGGGUUGUAAAGCACUUUUGUCCGGAAAGAAAUCCUUGGCUCUAAUACAGUCGGGGGAUGACGGUACCGGAAGAAUAAGCACCGGCUAACUACGUGCCAGCAGCCGCGGUAAUACGUAGGGUGCAAGCGUUAAUCGGAAUUACUGGGCGUAAAGCGUGCGCAGGCGGUUUGCUAAGACCGGUGUGAAAUCCCCGGGCUCAACCUGGGAACUGCAUUGGUGACUGGCAGGCUAGAGUAUGGCAGAGGGGGGUAGAAUUCCACGUGUAGCAGUGAAAUGCGUAGAGAUGUGGAGGAAUACCGAUGGCGAAGGCAGCCCCCUGGGCCAAUACUGACGCUCAUGCACGAAAGCGUGGGGAGCAAACAGGAUUAGAUACCCUGGUAGUCCACGCCCUAAACGAUGUCAACUAGUUGUUGGGGAUUCAUUUCCUUAGUAACGUAGCUAACGCGUGAAGUUGACCGCCUGGGGAGUACGGUCGCAAGAUUAAAACUCAAAUGAAUUGACGGGGUCAUAGCUGUUU
rnacentral:rRNA from 1 species